AGAGUUUGAUUAUGGCUCAGGAUGAACGCUGGCGGCGUGCCUAACACAUGCAAGUCGAGCGAUUUACUUCGGUAAAGAGCGGCGGACGGGUGAGUAACGCGUGGGUAACCUGCCUCAUACACAUGGAUAACAUACCGAAAGGUAUGCUAAUACAGGAUAAUAUAAGAGAUUCACAUGGAUUUCUUAUCAAAGCUCCGGCGGUAUGAGAUGGACCCGCGUCUGAUUAGCUAGUUGGUAAGGUAAUGGCUUACCAAGGCGACGAUCAGUAGCCGACCUGAGAGGGUGAUCGGCCACAUUGGAACUGAGACACGGUCCAAACUCCUACGGGAGGCAGCAGUGGGGAAUAUUGCACAAUGGGCGAAAGCCUGAUGCCAGCAACGCCGCGUGAGUGAUGAAGGCCUUCGGGUCGUAAAACUCUGUCCUCAAGGAAGAUAAUGACGGUACUUGAGGAGGAAGCCCCGGCUAACUACGUGCCAGCCGCAGC
rnacentral:rRNA from 1 species